rnacentral:tRNA from 1 species
GCCGAAGUGGCUCAGUGGCAGAGCACCAUCUUGGUAAGAUGGGGGUCACGGGUUCGAUUCCCGUCUUCGGCU